rnacentral:tRNA from 1 species
AACAAGACGGAAGAGAGUCACUCUUACCGUCGCGCAUACCUUAAGCGGGUCUGCCGCCUUCGUUUCUCUUUCUUCGCGAAUGACUUUGACUUGCGCUCGCGCGCCGCAUCGCACCCUGAGGGUGCUGGCGCUCCGCGAGGGCGCGGCAGCAAGCCGCGAUGGCCUGGCCGCGACGGCCGGUUGGCCUUGCGAGACUUGCGUCUCGUUGGCGAAAGCCGAUCUACGGCGCAGUCUUAGGGCUUGUAGCUCAGUUGGUUAGAGCGCGCGCUUGAUAAGCGUGAGGUCGGAGGUUCAAGUCCUCCCAGGCCCACCACUUCGCAAUCCGCAAGGAUUGUCGAUCUCCUCGACAAAGGUAACUUCGAAGAGGUGUUAUCAAGGGGCCGUAGCUCAGCUGGGAGAGCGCCUGCUUUGCAAGCAGGAUGUCGUCGGUUCGAUCCCGUCCGGCUCCACCACUUCGCAAUCCGCAGGAUUGUCGAACCGCGCAAUCCGCAGGAUUGUCGAACCGCGCAAUCCGCAGGAUUGUCGCUACCUCGUUCUGAAGGGAAAGAGGGUGUCGAGUAGAGAUGGAAACCGGUUGGAAAAAGAGUCAUUCGUUAAAAAGAUUUGCGGCGAGCUUCUGGGCUCUCCGCCUGUUCUGUUUGACAUCGUAAAAGAGAAGAUUUGUUCGAACUUCAUAUCCUGAAGAGGGUGUGAUUUGUCGCGGGAGACGCUCAAUCUCGCGCAUAUGAUGGGUUUGCCUAACCGCACCCUCGAACCGAUCUCGAGAAGCUGGUCUUUUUGUG